GAUGAACGCUGGCGGCGUGCCUAAUACAUGCGAGUCGAGCGAACGGACGAGAAGCUUGCUUUUCUGAUGUUAGCGGCGGACGGGUGAGUAACACGUGGAUAACCUACCUAUAAGACUGGGAUAACUUCGGGACACCGGAGCUAAUACCGGAUAAUAUUUUGAACCGCAUGGUUCAAAAGUGAAAGACGGUCUUGCUGUCACUUAUAGAUGGAUCCGCGCUGCAUUAGCUAGUUGGUAAGGUAACGGCUUACCAAGGCAACGAUGCAUAGCCGACCUGAGAGGGUGAUCGGCCACACUGGAACUGAGACACGGUCCAGACGCCUACGGGAGGCAGCAGUAGGGAAUCUUCCGCAAUGGGCGAAAGCCUGACGGAGCAACGCCGCGUGAGUGAUGAAGGUCUUCGGAUCGUAAAACUCUGUUAUUAGGGAAGAACAUAUGUGUAAGUAACUGUGCACAUCGUGACGGUACCUAAUCAGAAAGCCACGGCUAACUACGUG
rnacentral:rRNA from 1 species